AGUGCACACUGUUAAAGCCUGGCACCACUGUUGGUGUUUGGGUGUCGGAAGUGUGCAAGAGUGAUCAGGCCGGGUUUUCGCUAACACCAUGAGGGCCUCCGCCCCAUGACUGGGGUUUGAUAGUGACCUGAGCCACAUGG
ensembl:snoRNA SNORA62 Small nucleolar RNA SNORA62/SNORA6 family